rnacentral:rRNA from 1 species
UAAAGUCGUAACAAGGUUUCCGUAGGUGAACCUGCGGAAGGAUCAUU